UACGGAAGGCAGCAGUGGGGAAUAUUGCACAAUGGGCGCAAGCCUGAUGCAGCCAUGCCGCGUGUAUGAAGAAGGCCUUCGGGUUGUAAAGUACUUUCAGUCGUGAGGAAGGUGUUAAGGUUAAUAACCUUAGCAAUUGACGUUAGCGACAGAAGAAGCACCGGCUAACUCCGUGCCAGCAGCCGCGGUAAUACGGAGGGUGCGAGCGUUAAUCGGAAUUACUGGGCGUAAAGGGCACGCAGGCGGUUAAUUAAGUUGGAUGUGAAAUCCCCGGGCUUAACCUGGGAAUGGCAUUCAAGACUGGUUAGCUAGAGUCUUGUAGAGGGGGUAGAAUUCCAUGUAUAGCGGUGAAAUGCGUAGAGAUGUGGAGGAAUACCGGUGGCGAAGGCGGCCCCUGGACAAAGACUGACGCUCAUGUGCGAAAGCGUGGGGAGCAAACAGGGAUUAGAUACC
rnacentral:rRNA from 1 species